rnacentral:rRNA from 1 species
GAUGAACGCUGGCGGCGUGCUUAACACAUGCAAGUCGAACGGUGAACGAGGGAGCUUGCUCCUGUGGAUCAGUGGCGAACGGGUGAGUAACACGUGAGCAAUCUGCCCUGGACUCUGGGAUAAGCGUUGGAAACGACGUCUAAUACCGGAUACGAGGCGUGGGGGCAUCCCCAACGCCUGGAAAGAACUUCGGUCCAGGAUGAGCUCGCGGCCUAUCAGGUAGUUGGUGAGGUAACGGCUCACCAAGCCUACGACGGGUAGCCGGCCUGAGAGGGUGACCGGCCACACUGGGACUGAGACACGGCCCAGACUCCUACGGGAGGCAGCAGUGGGGAAUAUUGCACAAUGGGCGCAAGCCUGAUGCAGCAACGCCGCGUGAGGGACGACGGCCUUCGGGUUGUAAACCUCUUUUAGCAGGGAGGAAGCGAAAGUGACGGUACCUGCAGAAAAAGCACCGGCUAACUACGUGCCAGCCGCCGCGGUAAAAC